GCCCUCAUGCCGAAUAGUCUCCCUUUGGUGCGCGUUCGCUUCACGCGAUAGGCAUGGGGGCCGAC
rnacentral:sRNA from 22 species